rnacentral:rRNA from 1 species
GAUGAACGCUGGCGGCGUGCCUAAUACAUGCAAGUCGAGCGAACAGACGAGGAGCUUGCUCCUCUGACGUUAGCGGCGGACGGGUGAGUAACACGUGGAUAACCUACCUAUAAGACUGGGAUAACUUCGGGAAACCGGAGCUAAUACCGGAUAAUAUAUUGAACCGCAUGGUUCAAUAGUGAAAGACGGUUUUGCUGUCACUUAUAGAUGGAUCCGCGCUGCAUUAGCUAGUUGGUAAGGUAACGGCUUACCAAGGCAACGAUGCGUAGCCGACCUGAGAGGGUGAUCGGCCACACUGGAACUGAGACACGGUCCAGACUCCUACGGGAGGCAGCAGUAGGGAAUCUUCCGCAAUGGGCGGAAGCCUGACGGAGCAACGCCGCGUGAGUGAUGAAGGUCUUCGGAUCGUAAAACUCUGUUAUUAGGGAAGAACAAAUGUGUAAGUAACUAUGCACGUCUUGACGGUACCUAAUCAGAAAGCCACGGCUAACUACGUG